rnacentral:rRNA from 1 species
CCCUUAGAUGUUCUGGGCCGCACGCGUGCUACACUGAGUGGAUCAGCGGGUCAGGUUGCGCGAAAGUGUUUCCUAAUCUUUAAAUCCGCUCGUGAUGGGGAUUGACGGUUGCAAUUUUCCGUCAUGAACGAGGAAUACCUUGUAAGCGCGGGUCAUCAUCCCGCGCUGAAUACGUCCCUGCCCUUUGUACACACCGCCCGUCGCUCCUACCGAUUGAGUGGUCCGGUGAGGCUUUGGGAUCUGAGCGGAAAGAGCGUUUCGCUGUUUCUGCCCGGAAAACUCAGUCGAACCUUAUCAUUUAGAGGAAGGAGAAGCCGUAACA